UUCGUAGGUGGUGCGGCAAGUUGGGAGUGAAAUCUCUGGGCUUAACUCAGAGGCUGCUUUCAAAACUGCCGUGCUCGAGUGCGAGAGAGGCCAGUGGAAUUGCAGGUGUAGCGGUGAAAUGCGUAGAUAUCUGCAGGAACACCCGUGGCGAAGGCGGCUGGCUGGAUCGCAACUGACACUGAGGAACGAAAGCUAGGGGAGCAAACAGGAUUAGAUACCCUGGUAGUCCUAGCCCUAAACCAUCAGAACUUGGGGUGGCCCGCGUAGGCGGGUCGUCCCGUAGCUAACGCGUUAAGUUCUGCGCCUGGGGAGUACGGUCGCAAGACUGAA
rnacentral:rRNA from 1 species